GAUGAACGCUAGCUACAGGCUUAACACAUGCAAGUCGAGGGGAAACGGCAUUGAGUGCUUGCACUCUUUGGACGUCGACCGGCGCACGGGUGAGUAACGCGUAUCCUACCUUCCCAUUACUGUGGGUUAACCUGCCGAAAGGCAGACUAAUAUCGCAUAGUCUUCGAUGACGGCAUCAGAUUUGAAGUAAAGAUUUAUCGGUAUUGGAUGGGGGUGCGUCUGAUUAGCUUGUUGGCGGUGUAACGGCCAACCAAGGCUACGUUCAGUAGGGGUUCUGACAGGAAUCUCCCCCACAUUGGAACUGAGACACGGUCCAAACACCUACGGGAGGCAGCAGUGAGGAAUAUUGGUCAAUGGACGGAAGUCUGAACCAGCCAAGUAGCGUGCAGGAUGACGGCCCUAUGGGUUGUAAACUGCUUUUGUAGGGAGAUAGAUUUAGGUACGUGUCCCUAUUUGCAGGUACCAUACGAAUAAGGACCGGCUAAUUCCGUG
rnacentral:rRNA from 1 species